AGCGUACACGGUGGAUGCCCUGGCAGUCAGAGGCGAUGAAGGACGUGCUAAUCUGCGAAAAGCGCCGGUAAGGUGAUAUGAACCGUUAUAACCGGCGAUGUCCGAAUGGGGAAACCCGGUGCACUUCGGUGCAUCAUCGUUAGCUGAAUACAUAGGCUAACGAGGCGAACCGGGGGAACUGAAACAUCUAAGUACCCCGAGGAAAAGAAAUCAACCGAGAUUCCCCCAGUAGCGGCGAGCGAACGGGGAACAGCCCAGAGCCUGAAUCAGCUUGUGUGUCAGUGGAACGGUCUGGAAAGGCCGGCGAUACAGGGUGACAGCCCCGUACACGAAGGCACACAGGCUGUGAGCUCGAUGAGUAGGGCGGGACACGUGAUAUCCUGUCUGAAGAUGGGGGGACCAUCCUCCAAGGCUAAAUACUCCUGACUGACCGAUAGUGAACCAGUACCGUGAGGGAAAGGCGAAAAGAACCCCGGCGAGGGGAGUGAAACAGAACCUGAAACCGUGUACGUACAAGCAGUGGGAGCCUUCGUAAGAGGGUGACUGCGUACCUUUUGUAUAAUGGGUCAGCGACUUAUAUUCUGUAGCAAGGUUAACCGUAUAGGGGAGCCGAAGGGAAACCGAGUCUUAACCGGGCGUUAAGUUGCAGGGUAUAGACCCGAAACCCGGUGAUCUAGCCAUGGGCAGGUUGAAGGUUGGGUAACACUAACUGGAGGACCGAACCGACUAAUGUUGAAAAAUUAGCGGAUGACCUGUGGCUGGGGGUGAAAGGCCAAUCAAACCGGGAGAUAGCUGGUUCUCCCCGAAAGCUAUUUAGGUAGCGCCUCGUGAACUCAUCUCCGGGGGUAGAGCACUGUUUCGGCUAGGGGGCCAUCCCGGCUUACCAACCCGAUGCAAACUGCGAAUACCGGAGAAUGUUAUCACGGGAGACACACGGCGGGUGCUAACGUCCGUCGUGAAGAGGGAAACAACCCAGACCGCCAGCUAAGGUCCCAAAGUCAUGGUUAAGUGGGAAACGAUGUGGGAAGGCCCAGACAGCCAGGAUGUUGGCUUAGAAGCAGCCAUCAUUUAAAGAAAGCGUAAUAGCUCACUGGUCGAGUCGGCCUGCGCGGAAGAUGUAACGGGGCUAAACCAUGCACCGAAGCUGCGGCAGCGACGCUUAUGCGUUGUUGGGUAGGGGAGCGUUCUGUAAGCCUGCGAAGGUGUGCUGUGAGGCAUGCUGGAGGUAUCAGAAGUGCGAAUGCUGACAUAAGUAACGAUAAAGCGGGUGAAAAGCCCGCUCGCCGGAAGACCAAGGGUUCCUGUCCAACGUUAAUCGGGGCAGGGUGAGUCGACCCCUAAGGCGAGGCCGAAAGGCGUAGUCGAUGGGAAACAGGUUAAUAUUCCUGUACUUGGUGUUACUGCGAAGGGGGGACGGAGAAGGCUAUGUCGGCCGGGCGACGGUUGUCCCGGUUUAAGCGUGUAGGCUGACUUUCCAGGCAAAUCCGGAAAGUUAAGGCUGAGGCGUGAUGACGAGGCACUACGGUGCUGAAGUGACAAAUGCCCUGCUUCCAGGAAAAGCCUCUAAGCAUCAGGUAACAUCAAAUCGUACCCCAAACCGACACAGGUGGUCAGGUAGAGAAUACCAAGGCGCUUGAGAGAACUCGGGUGAAGGAACUAGGCAAAAUGGUGCCGUAACUUCGGGAGAAGGCACGCUGACAUGUAGGUGAAGCCCCUGCGGGUGGAGCUGAAGUCAGUCGAAGAUACCAGCUGGCUGCAACUGUUUAUUAAAAACACAGCACUGUGCAAACACGAAAGUGGACGUAUACGGUGUGACGCCUGCCCGGUGCCGGAAGGUUAAUUGAUGGGGUUAUCGCAAGAGAAGCUCCUGAUCGAAGCCCCGGUAAACGGCGGCCGUAACUAUAACGGUCCUAAGGUAGCGAAAUUCCUUGUCGGGUAAGUUCCGACCUGCACGAAUGGCGUAAUGAUGGCCAGGCUGUCUCCACCCGAGACUCAGUGAAAUUGAACUCGCUGUGAAGAUGCAGUGUACCCGCGGCAAGACGGAAAGACCCCGUGAACCUUUACUACAGCUUGACACUGAACAUUGAGCCUUGAUGUGUAGGAUAGGUGGGAGGCUUUGAAGCGUGGACGCCAGUCUGCGUGGAGCCGACCUUGAAAUACCACCCUUUAAUGUUUGAUGUUCUAACCUGGCGCCAUAAUCUGGCGUGGGGACAGUGUCUGGUGGGUAGUUUGACUGGGGCGGUCUCCUCCCAAAGUGUAACGGAGGAGCACGAAGGUCAGCUAAUCCUGGUCGGACAUCAGGAGGUUAGUGCAAUGGCAUAAGCUGGCUUGACUGCGAGAGUGACGGCUCGAGCAGGUGCGAAAGCAGGUCAUAGUGAUCCGGUGGUUCUGUAUGGAAGGGCCAUCGCUCAACGGAUAAAAGGUACUCCGGGGAUAACAGGCUGAUACCGCCCAAGAGUUCAUAUCGACGGCGGUGUUUGGCACCUCGAUGUCGGCUCAUCACAUCCUGGGGCUGAAGUAGGUCCCAAGGGUAUGGCUGUUCGCCAUUUAAAGUGGUACGCGAGCUGGGUUUAGAACGUCGUGAGACAGUUCGGUCCCUAUCUGCCGUGGGCGCUGGAGAAUUGAGGGGGGCUGCUCCCAGUACGAGAGGACCGGAGUGGACGCAUCACUGGUGUUCGGGUUGUCAUGCCAAUGGCACUGCCCGGUAGCUAAAUGCGGAAGAGAUAAGUGCUGAAAGCAUCUAAGCACGAAACUUGCCCCGAGAUGAGUUCU
rnacentral:rRNA from 1 species